rnacentral:rRNA from 1 species
ACGGCUCAGUAACACGUGGACAACCUACCCAAUAGUCUGGGAUAACCCCGGGAAACUGGGGAUAAUACCGGAUAGAUCAUCUUUGCUGGAAGGCUUGGUGGUUGAAACUUCAGGGGCUGUUGGAUGGGUCUGCGGCUGAUUAGGUUGUUGCCGGUGUAACGUACCGUCAAGCCUGUAAUCAGUACGGGUUGUGGGAGCAAGAGCCCGGAGAUGGAUUCUGAGACACGAAUCCAGGCCCUACGGGGCGCAGCAGGCGCGAAAACUCUACAAUGCAGGCAACUGCGAUAGGGGAACAUCGAGUGGCAUUCAUAUUGGGUGCCUGUCCACCCGUCUAAAAAACGGGUGUUAGCAAGGGCCGGGCAAGACCGGUGCCAGCCGCCGCGGUAAUACCGGCGGCUCGAGUGAUGGCCGAUAUUAUUGAGUCUAAAGGGUCCGUAGCCGGCUUUGCAAGUCUCUCGGGAAAUCCAGCGGCUUAACCGUUGGUCGUCCGGGGGGUACUACAUUGCUUGGGACUGGGAGAGGUAGGAGGUACUCAGGGGGUAGGAGUGAAAUCCUGUAAUCCUUUGGGGACCACCGGUGGCGAAGGCGUCCUACCAGAACAGGUCCGACGGUGAGGGACGAAAGCUAGGGGCACGAACCGGAUUAGAUACCCGGGUAGUCCUAGCCGUAAACGAUGCUCGCUAGGUGUCACAACAGUCGUGAACUGUUGUGGUGCCGUAGGGAAGCCGUGAAGCGAGCCACUUGGGAAGUACGACCGCAAGGUUGAAACUUAAAGGAAUUGGCGGGGGAGCAC